rnacentral:rRNA from 1 species
AGAGUUUGAUCCUGGCUCAGAUUGAACGCUGGCGGCAUGCCUUACACAUGCAAGUCGAACGGUAACGCGGGGCAACCUGGCGACGAGUGGCGAACGGGUGAGUAAUAUAUCGGAACGUGCCCAGNUAGUGGGGGAUAGCCCGGCGAAAGCCGGAUUAAUACCGCAUACGACCUACGGGUGAAAGCGGGGGAUCGCAAGACCUCGCGCUAUUGGAGCGGCCGAUAUCAGAUUAGGUAGUUGGUGGGGUAAAAGCCUACCAAGCCGACGAUCUGUAGCUGGUCUGAGAGGACGACCAGCCACACUGGGACUGAGACACGGCCCAGACUCCUACGGGAGGCAGCAGUGGGGAAUUUUGGACAAUGGGCGCAAGCCUGAUCCAGCCAUGCCGCGUGCGGGAAGAAGGCCUUCGGGUUGUAAACCGCUUUUGUCAGGGAAGAAAUCUUCUGGGCUAAUACCCCGGGAGGAUGACGGUACCUGAAGAAUAAGCACCGGCUAACUACGUGCCAGCAGCCGCGGUAAUACGUAGGGUGCGAGCGUUAAUCGGAAUUACUGGGCGUAAAGCGUGCGCAGGCGGUUAUGCAAGACAGAUGUGAAAUCCCCGGGCUCAACCUGGGAACUGCAUUUGUGACUGCAUGGCUGGAGUGCGGCAGAGGGGGAUGGAAUUCCGCGUGUAGCAGUGAAAUGCGUAGAUAUGCGGA